AUCGCUUCUCGGCUCUAUUGAGCUAAGAUCAAAAGUGUAGUAUCUGUUCUUAUCAGCUUAAUAUCUGAUACAAUCCCCAUAGGGGAUUCAGAAUAUUAACCUGAUUUUUGGAACAAGGCGGGAGUAAGGAGCUCGCUCCUUCCCCGCUAACGGUCAACCCGACGUUGCAGUAAAGUUGGGACUGGCCUUUAUUAA